UACGUAGACGGUUUAUUUAAAGUCAGAUGUGAAAGCCCCGGGCUUAACCUGGGAACUGCAUUUGAUACUGGUAAACUAGAGUAUGGUAGAGGGGGUAGAAUUCCUAGUGUAGCGGUGAAAUGCGUAGAUAUUAGGAGGAAUACCAGUGGCGAAGGCGGCCCCUGGACCAAUACUGACGCUGAGGUACGAAAGCGUGGGUAGCGAACA
rnacentral:rRNA from 1 species